GUGUCCAGCGUCGGCGGAAUUAUUGUGAUGGUGAAAACAAAUUGAAAAGAAGCAAAGAAGAGAGAAAAGAUCAUACGAAAAUGAAGAAUAUACUAUCACGCGUUCAAUAAAAAAAAGAUAAAAUGGUUUGUCUGUCACUUUUGCUACAAAGAAUGUGAAUUUCCAGUUAUAAUUUCCUAAUUUUAGCUAAAGUUAGGUAUAUUGAGUUAAUUGACCCAUUAAAGAAUACACAUAUAAUUUAUGUUCAUUUCAUUAGUUGAAAACCAUGGUCAAGCUAAAUACGAUUAACC
rnacentral:lncRNA from 1 species